rnacentral:rRNA from 1 species
AACGACUCUCGGCAACGGAUAUCUCGGCUCUCGCAUCGAUGAAGAACGUAGCGAAAUGCGAUACUUGGUGUGAAUUGCAGAAUCCCGUGAACCAUCGAGUUUUUGAACGCAAGUUGCGCCCUAGGCCAUCCGGCCGAGGGCACGCCUGCCUGGGCGUCACGU